rnacentral:rRNA from 1 species
GAUGAACGCUGGCGGCGUGCCUAAUACAUGCAAGUCGAGCGAACAGACGAGGAGCUUGCUCCUCUGACGUUAGCGGCGGACGGGUGAGUAACACGUGGAUAACCUACCUAUAAGACUGGGAUAACUUCGGGAAACCGGAGCUAAUACCGGAUAAUAUAUUGAACCGCAUGGUUCAAUAGUGAAAGACGGUUUUGCUGUCACUUAUAGAUGGAUCCGCGCCGCAUUAGCUAGUUGGUAAGGUAACGGAUUACCAAGGCAAGGAUGAGUAGCCGACCUGAGAGGGUGAUCGGCAACACUGGAACUGAGACACGGUCCAGACUCCUACGGGAGGAAGCAGUAGGGAAUCUCCCGCAAUGGGCGAAAGCUUGACGGAGCAACGCCGCGUGAGUGAUGAAGGUCUUCGGAUCGUAAAACUCUGUUAUUAGGGAAGAACAAAUGUGUAAGUAACUAUGCACGUCUUGACGGUACCUAAUCAGAAAGCCACGGCUAACUACGUG